CCAUCUUCAUUGUAACAUUUGUGAAGCACUUUAUAGUUCAGAAAGCAUUUUUCCCUUAGAUCCUCCUGACAGCUCCCUGUGGUGUGAAAAGGAGCUAUCAUCUACACUUGCUGCAGGUGAGAUGACUGUCCCGGCAAUGGCCCAAGGCCCAUCCUCUCUCAAUGUGACUGUUUAUCCAUGUUACUCCAAGAGAAUCUAACAGUUAAGGGGAGAAAAAGCUGCACUGCUUGCUUCCAGAGCUAACUGUGUCCUCCCUGCUGUCCUCCCUGCUCUGGGCCACAGCGAACACUGGACAGUGAUAUUAAAACCUAGAGCAUGAGGAAGCCAGUGAGGAGAAGCUGGUGAGAGGCUCUGCCCUCAGAUGAGAGGAACUGGAAUUCACACAUGCUCCGUCUGCCUCUGCAAACUUCGGAUGACUCAGUGUCUACCCAGCGCCUGGUCAUCGGCAUUCCUGCCAAGUGGAUCUCAGGACAAAGAAAGGACAUGACUGCCUGAAGAGGGCCCAGACAUGCAGUGGGGCAGGUGCUGGCAUCUGAGAAAGUCCUAGGAGAGAACCUCCUCCAGUGUGUGAAGAGCUUCCCAAGCACCAGGUCCACUGACUGUGGCGUCAAAGACAGUGAAAAGCUGGCCUUGGGGUGAUGCCAUCCAGGAAGGCAUGCCAGAUCAGAUGCCCAGGUGGGUUCGGAGGCCUCCUCUGUACUUUCUCAUGAUCAUCACAAAUGGAUGUCACUGUGUUGUGAGUGGGAUCCUCUGGGCAGGGACCAGGUCUAAGUCCCCAGGUUCCAACACACAGGGAUGUGAGCUGCUUGGAAAGUCCUCCCCAAAGCCAGGAUUUCUUCCUUUCUGCCCUGGCCAAACAGUUCCUGUGUCUUGUGCUUCCAUAUUAGGCCUCCAGAGGUCAGACAAAUCCCAGGUGUUUGGGGCUCAAAGCUGCUAACCCAAGGGAGCCCUCAGACUACUCCAGCCCCAGUAAAGUCCCAGAAGUUCCAUAUCCACUGUGAUCCUGCAUCUCUUCCCAAGUCCCAACUCUGUCCUGAGGAGCUCUAGAGGCAGACACCACUCCUCCCCUCCUCACCUGUCACCACCCCUCACCCCCACUCUUCAUGCCUUGCUGCAGAGGAUAUGGCCGCUCACCUAUAGAUCUUACGGUAGGAGAGGUCACACCAGUAGAUGCGAUUGGUGGCAACUUCCACAUCUAGUGCCACGACAUUCUUGAGCAUGGGGAUGAGGCGUGAAUAGUUUCGCUUUACCAGGUCGAUCCUCCGCACCUCGUGCCGGUUGGUGAAGAUUAGGGAUGGGCUCUUGCCAGCUGCCAUGCAGGGAGGUUGAAAGAGAAAGAGUCAGUGCAAGAGGCAGGGAGCCUGGAGACCAAGACUCUGCCACUGGCUUGCUGGCUGACACAUCCAUUUUCCUUAAAAUAGUAGUGACAAUUCCUACUUUACAGGUUGCAGGAGCAGAUGAAAUAAUGAGUACAGAAAGCAGAAGAUGCAGAGCACCACGCAUAGCAGGAAGAUUCUUAUUCUUUUUAUUAGAUACAAACUUCUCCAAAAUCUUUUAUGGCUCCCCAUUUUCUCCUUAGGCCUGCACUGAAAGCCUUCCACAGUGUGACCCCAAGUUCCCUGUCCAGCCUCAUUACUCGCCUCUCCAACAUAGCUUGAUUCCACCUACCAGAUACCAUUACCUAGCCAUGGAUGGGCUUCCUGCCUCAGAGCCUUUGCUCAGGUUGUCUCUUCCACCUACUAUGUAUUUCUUUCCAGCAACUACCAUCUUCUCUGCUUGGGCCCUACUGCUGUGGUUCAAGAAGGAACUACCUGAGCAAGUAAGUGUCUUAGAAAGAUAACUAGGGGCCAGGCACAGUGGCUCACACCUGUAAUCCCAGCACUUUAGGAGGCUGAGGCUGGCACAUUGCUUGAGGCCAGGAGUUUGAGACUAGCCUGGGUAAUAUGGCAAAAUCCCAUCUCUAAAAAAAAAAAUAAAAAAAAAAUUAGCUGGGCAUGGUGGCACAUGCCUGUAGUCCCAGCUACUCAGGAGGCUGAAGUGGGAGAAUCAUUUGAGCCCGGGAGGUUAAGGCUGCAGUGAGCCAUGAUUGUGCCACUGCACUCCAGCCUGAGUGACAGAGACUCUGUCUCAAAGGAAAAAAAAAAAAAGAUAAUUCAGGAUAGAAAGUAUUGGGGACAUAGCAAGAGAUGAGCUUCAGAGAUUGGCAGGGGCCAGAUCACAAAGGGUCCUAUGAGCUGGGUGAGUUUGUUCUCUAUCCUGAGCCAAUGGCAGAGAUGGGACAUAUAUGAUAUACAACACAGAUUAUAUAUAUGCAGUAGAGACAACAUACAACUGCUCAUGUAUACACAAAACCUGUAUUUUUCUUAGAUUUAGGGUUAGAUUUUAAGAUGAUAAAUAAGUGACCUAGACUUUCCUGGCUACUCCAUAUGGGAGGACACUGUCCCAUGGGCCUCUGAGGGCCUAGCACCAGCUCCCGCAGGCUGUUUCUAGAUGUAUUGGGCCACUCUCAGGCACCAACACUGUCUGAGGGGCUGCUCCUAGUAACACCUGCCCCUCAAGCUCCCUGUGCCUCCUUCUCUUGUUUUCCAGCUGACACUUCUGCCAGCCACCAGUCCCUGUCACUGUGCAUCUUUGCCAAGCUAAUGUGCUCCCUGGAGGAUGGGACCAGCACAGAGUCAUGUAGGGCCUGGGGCUGGGUGUGUGACCUGUGUGUAGUGAUGGAGACUAAUUCAAAGCAGGGUGGGAGUGAGACAGAAGUGUGGUACAAAUAGAGAGCAUGGAGAAUGGACUCAAGGUGCAGGAAGGGGCAAGGAUGAAAGCUGAGUUCCAGGCCAGCUCUGCCACUGACAAGCUGUGAUUUCCCUCACCCCAAAAUGACAGUAAUGACACUUCACCUCCCUGAAGGCAGGAGCCAGGUUAAAGGGGCAUGUUGGAGUGAUUUUAAAUGACAGCUGUGACUGUGACAGGAACCCCCUGUGUUUAUUAUUUGAGACUUUAUGUAAUUGCACUUGAAAUAUUCAUGUGUGUGGAUUCUGUAUAUGCAUGGGUAGUUGCAUGUUGUCUCCAGUGCAUGUACAUAAUCUGUGUCAUGUAUUACAUGUGUUCUAUAUGGGGGCAAGAACAGGUUACACGUUAUAUGUGAUAUACUAAUGUAUGAGUUACAUAUUGUACAGUUUGGGUGUUAACACUUUUUGGGUUUAUGGGCUACAUGUCAGUAUUAUGGCUGCUGUAUUGUUAUAAUUUAUCUGUUGUAUAUUGUAUUUAACUUGCAUAUGAACUCCAGACUUAUAUAUCCAGCUGCCUUCUCAAUAUCUCUACUUGGAUACCUAACCAGUUUUCUUAAACAUAACAUGUCCAAAACAGCCUAAGAUUCCUCCAAACCUGCUUCCCUCACCAUCUUUCCCAAGCCCAUACGUAGCAAUCUUAUUUUUUCAGUUGCUGUAACUUUUUUUUCCACAUUCCACAUUCAAUUCAUAAGCAAAUCCUGUUGGCUGGCCUUUGCACUAUAUCUGCAGUCUGUCCACCUUUCAUUAUUCCCACAGUAAUAAUGUGGGAAUAAGGGUUCAGCCACCAUCACCUCGCUUCUGGAUUAUUGCAAUGACCUCUUAAGUGGUUUCCCUGCCUUCUCCCUUGUGCUCUACAGUCUGUUCUCAAUACUGCAGUCAGAAUAAAAUGUCACACCAUGUCCCUUCCCUACUCAGAGCCCUCAAUGGUUUCCCCCCAGUUAGAGUGAAAUCCAGAGCUGGCUCUUACAAUGGUCUAGAAGGCCCUUUGGGCUGCCCCAAGCCACCUCUCUGGCUUCAUCUCUUCCUAGUUUCCUUGCUCCAACUGUACCAGCUUCCUUGCUAUUCCUUGAACAUACUAGGCAUGCUCCUGCAUUAGGGCUUUUGCGGUUUCUGUCUCUUCAGCCUGAAAUGCUUGUUCCUACAGAUAAUUGCAUGGUAGCUUACUGUCUCACCUCCCUCACUCCCUUUUUAUUUAUUAUUAUUAUUAUUUUUAGAAAAGGUCUCACUCUGUCACCCAGGCUGGAGUGCAGUGGCAUCAUAACUCACUGUGACCUCAAACUCCCGGGCUCAAGGGAUCUUCCUGCCUCAGUCUCCUGAGUAGCUUGGGACUAUAGGUGCAUGGUACUAUACCUGGCUAGUUUUUAAAUUUUUUUUUAGAUAUAGGGUCUUACUACAUUGCCCAGACUAGUCUUGAACUCCUGGCCUCAAGUGAUCUUCCUGCCUAGGCCUCCCAAAGUGUUGGGAUUACAAGCAUGAGCCACCACACCCACCCCCCUUCACCUUCUUUACUCAAAUACCUUCUCAGUGAGGGCUUCCCUGACCAUUCCAUUUAAAACUAGAACCCCCUGCUCACCUGGACUUCCCUAUUCCCAUUCUCUACUUUCUAUUUUUCCUUAGCCCUUAUCGCCAUCUGCCAUGCACUAUAUUUUAUUUAUUUAUCUGAUUUCUAGCCUGGCUCACCCAUUAGACUAUAAGUCCCUUGAGGGCAGACAGGGAUUUGCAUCUGUUUUGCUUACUGCUGAAUCCCCAGUGUCUACUACAAUGUUAGGUGUUCAAUAUAAACAACUGAAUACAAUGAA